rnacentral:tRNA from 1 species
GUUCCUAUAGUUCAAUGGAUAGAACGCUGGCCUCCGAAGCCGGAAAUUGAAGUUCGAAUCUUCAUAGGAACACCA